UACGUAGGGUGCAAGCGUUUGUCCGGAAUUAUUGGGCGUAAAGAGCUCGUAGGCGGUUCGUCGCGUCGGCUGUGAAAUCCCGAGGCUCAACCUCGGGUCUGCAGUCGAUACGGGCGGACUGGAGUUCGGCAGGGGAGACUGGAAUUCCUGGUGUAGCGGUGAAAUGCGCAGAUAUCAGGAGGAACACCCGUGGCUAAGGCGGUUCUCUAGUACGGUACUGACGCUGAGACGCGAAAGCGUGGGGAGCGAACAGG
rnacentral:rRNA from 1 species